GAAAUGUCCCUUCUCCGACCCAACGUGCCUACAGGCGGCGUAUGCCCAUGGGCGUUGGGCGAUAGGGCGUAGCUGGAAACGGCUGCACCUCCCGUGCUUGGAAAGGAGAAUGGGCUACGGAUGA
rnacentral:ncRNA from 2 species